CCUGAUAAAGUUAACUUCAGGACCCCUUUCUUCUCUUUCCGAUAAGAUUAACUUCGGAGCCCCGCCUUUUACCCUCUUCUUCUCUCUCCGAUAAGGUUAACUUUGGAACCCAUCCCCCAGUAAGGACGAAUGAUAUUUGGCCUCCCUUCCUUUCUUCCCAGUCAUAAAUAAACAAAAAAAUAAAGUCUGGGUUCCAACUGGUAAAACAUUUUCAAAAAAAAAAAUCUUUCACCCAUUUCUCCCCGACGAAAAAUUUCCUCAAUGAUUGC
rnacentral:lncRNA from 1 species